rnacentral:rRNA from 1 species
UACGUAGGUGACAAGCGUUGUCCGGAUUUACUGGGCGUAAAGAGCGCGCAGGCGGUCGUUCAAGUCGAGUGUGAAAGCCCCCGGCUCAACUGGGGAGGGUCACUCGAUACUGAUCGACUCGAAGGCAGGAGAGGGAAGUGGAAUUCCCGGUGUAGUGGUGAAAUGCGUAGAUAUCGGGAGGAACACCAGUGGCGAAGGCGGCGUUCUGGACUGCAACUGACACUGAGGAACGAAAGCCAGGGUAGCAAACGGG